GGAUCUGAGGGCAAUCUGACUGCAACAUCUCUUACCCCAUUGAUCACCAGGGUUGAUUCAGCUGACCUGGCUAGCUGGGUGGAUGUUCCCUUCCCCAUCGCUGCUCCAUAUGUAUUCCUACUGAAGCUGCACACUUAGUGGAAGAGGAUGGCUAUCCUAGCUAGAAGGAAUAUACAAUUUUAUCUGUGCCCACCUACUAUAACUUCUAAAAAAAGCUCAAGGCCUUGAUUUGGCAUAAGCAUUUCUGAUUAAUCCUAUCAUCCCACUUUUAAAACUAUUUAAAUAUGCUCCAGU
rnacentral:snRNA from 1 species